AGGAGAGAAGACCUAUCUCUUAGAGAGGUGUUAAUUGGGUUGGUGAAGAAGAAAGAGAGUAGAGAAGAAGGAAAAGAGAAAACAAAAGGAUCUUAGUACCCCAGAGAGAGAGAGUACUAAGGACUUGUUGCACAUCCUCCUCAAGGGAUGUGUUGGGAGUAUUUAUUGAUAGCAGAUAAGAUUUUCUCAACUAUAUCUCUCUAUUCUGUUAAGGGAAAUCUUCCCUCCUAAUCUGUAUAAAUAGGAGAGGGACAUGUUAAUCCAUUCAAGCUUAUUCAGUAAUUUCUUUUCUAUCUCUUUUCAAACAUGGUAUCAGAGCAUUCUCCCUUGCGGAUGUAGGCAGCUCUGCCAAAACCUUCUGCUGCUCCUUUGGGUGUCGGUGUGGAAUCCGGAAGGACUGGUGUUGACUUUCUUCCUCCACUGUAGUUUCUCUCCUUCCUCCUCCCCUUCUGGCCCUUCUUUCCCUUCGCCGGUCACCUUCACCACCGCCGCCGACUGCGACGUCUGUUUCUCUCACAAGAAAAGCAAGAACCGAAGCUCCCACAGCCAGCAGCAGCUGACGCCAACCUCUCUGCCUUGACGCAACUCCGCGACCGCUUGUUGGCCAGCAGCAACUGCUGGCGCACAACCCGAACCACUGCGAGAUUCCUCGCCAUUGGGAAGAU
rnacentral:lncRNA from 1 species